rnacentral:rRNA from 1 species
AGUGAACGCUGGCGGCAUGCCUAACACAUGCAAGUCGAACGACAGCACAGUAAGAGCUUGCUCCUACGGGUGGCGAGUGACGGACGGGUGAGGAAUACAUCGGAAUCCACUAUUUCGGGGGGGAUAACGUAGGGAAACUUACGCUAACACCGCAUACAACCUACGGGAGGAAGCAAGAGAGCAUGACACCUUGCGCGUCUGAAUUAGCCGAUGCCGCAUUAGCUAGUUGGCUGGGUAAGGGCCCACCAAGGCAACGAUGCGUAGCGGGUCUGAGAGGAUGAUCGGCCACACUGGAACUGAGACACGGUCCAGACUCCUACGGGAGGCAGCAGUGGGGAAUAUUCGACAAUGGGCGCAAGCUUGACCCAGCCAUGCCGCGUGAGUGAUGAAGGUCUUCGGGUCGUAAAGCCCUGUUGUUGGGAAAGAAAAACUGCAGAUUUAUCCCCCGCUGUUCUGACGGUACCCAAAGAGAAAGCACCGGCUAACUUCGUG